GGCCGGACCUGGAUGAUCGACAUCCGCACCAACGCGGCCUUUCGCGCCGCCAACGGCUAUGACCAGCCGACGCUGAUCCUGAUCGGCGGGCUGAUCA
rnacentral:tRNA from 1 species